rnacentral:rRNA from 1 species
GGAGCUUGCUCCUUGGGUGACGAGUGGCGGACGGGUGAGUAAUGCCUGGGAAACUGCCCGAUGGAGGGGGAUAACUACUGGAAACGGUAGCUAAUACCGCAUAACGUCUUCGGACCAAAGUGGGGGACCUUCGGGCCUCACACCAUCGGAUGUGCCCAGGUGGGAUUAGCUAGUAGGUGGGGUAAUGGCUCACCUAGGCGACGAUCCCUAGCUGGUCUGAGAGGAUGACCAGCCACACUGGAACUGAGACACGGUCCAGACUCCUACGGGAGGCAGCAGUGGGGAAUAUUGCACAAUGGGCGCAAGCCUGAUGCAGCCAUGCCGCGUGUAUGAAGAAGGCCUUCGGGUUGUAAAGUACUUUCAGUGGGGAGGAAGGCGAUGAGGUUAAUAGCUUCGUCGAUUGACGUUACCCGCAGAAGAAGCACCGGCUAACUCCGUGCCAGCAGCCGCGGUAAUACGGAGGGUGCAAGCGUUAAUCGGAAUUACUGGGCGUAAAGCGCACGCAGGCGGUCUGUCAAGUCGGAUGUGAAAUCCCCGGGCUCAACCUGGGAACUGCAUUCGAAACUGGCAGACUAGAGUCUUGUAGAGGGGGGUAGAAUUCCAGGUGUAGCGGUGAAAUGCGUAGAGAUCUGGAGGAAUACCGGUGGCGAAGGCGGCCCCCUGGACAAAGACUGACGCUCAGGUGCGAAAGCGUGGGGAGCAAACAGGAUUAGAUACCCUGGUAGUCCACGCCGUAAACGAUGUCGACUUGGAGGUUGUGCCCUUGAGGCGUGGCUUCCGGAGCUAACGCGUUAAGUCGACCGCCUGGGGGAGUACGGCCGCAAGGUUAAAACUCAAAUGAAAUUGACGGGGGGCCCGCACAAGCGGUGGACCAUGUGGUUUAAUUCGAUGCAACGCGAAAAAACCUUACCUGGGCCUUGACAUCCACGGGAAUUCGGGCAGAAAAUGCCUUUAUUGCCUUUCGGGAAACCGGUGAAAACAGGGUGCUUGCAUGGGCUGGUCGUUCAGCUUCGUGGUUGUGAAAAUGUUUGGGGUUAAAUUCCCCGCAAACGAAGCGGCAACCCCUUUAUCCCUUUGGUUGGCCAGCCACGUUAAUGGGUGGGGAAACUCCAAAGGGAAAACUGGCCGG